rnacentral:rRNA from 1 species
UAAGACUGGAAUAACUUCGGGAAACCGGAGCUAAUGCCGGAUAACAUUUGGAACCGCAUGGUUCUAAAGUAAAAGAUGGUUUUGCUAUCACUUAUAGAUGGACCCGCGCCGUAUUAGCUAGUUGGUAAGGUAACGGCUUACCAAGGCAACGAUACGUAGCCGACCUGAGAGGGUGAUCGGCCACACUGGAACUGAGACACGGUCCAGACUCCUACGGGAGGCAGCAGUAGGGAAUCUUCCGCAAUGGACGAAAGUCUGACGGAGCAACGCCGCGUGAGUGAUGAAGGUUUUCGGAUCGUAAAACUCUGUUAUUAGGGAAGAACAAAUGUGUAAGUAACUGUGCACAUCUUGACGGU